AUGCGGCGCCACGCCGACGAGCUCACGCCGCUGGUCGUUGGGCGGCUCGGGGACGGCGACGCGGCCGUGCGGGAGGCCGCCAGGAGGUUCCUCGUGCUGCUCAUGGAGAUGAAGGAGAUGAAUGCAAGAUCAGAAAAUAUACAAACAGCUUCUAGUAUACCAGAUGUCCACCGCAGUAGUUGUACAACAACCGAAGCUGAAUCUUCUGGUACCAAUCAAGUAAAGAGAAGUUCGAAACAAAGGAUCAGCACAAGAGAUAUGUCCCUUCUAGCAGGGGAAGAAGAUAUUACAAGAAAAUCAGCUGAACCUAUAAAAGUAUUCUCUGAAAAAGAUCUGAUAAAGGAAAUGGGAAAAGUAAUGUCUACUUUACAACCAGAUAAUGUGUGGUCAAUCAGGAUAACUGCAAUGCAAAGAGUGGAAGGCAUAGUUCUUGGAGGCGCCGCAGAUUAUUCAGCCUUCCCCACGCUUCUAAAACAACUCGUGGCUCCUCUUAUAACCCAGCUUCUGGAUAGGAGAUCUAGUGUUGUAAAGCAGGCAUGCCAUUUGCUAAUUUUCCUAUCAAAGGAGCUACUGCGCGACUUCGAACCAUGUGCUGAAUUGCUUAUUCCGGCCCUUCUUAAGAAUGUCGUAAUCACCGUUCUUGUAAUUGCCGAGUCUGCUGAUAACUGUAUAAAAGAGAUGCUACGAAACUGCAAAGUAGCUCGCAUUCUACCAAGAAUUAUUGAAUUCGCAAAAAAUGACAGAAGCGCAGUUCUUCGUGGCAGGUGUUGUGAGUAUGCAAUACUGAUGCUAGAGUAUUGGGUUGAUACUCCCGAACUACAGAGAUCAGCUAAUCUGUAUGAAGAACUCAUAAAGUGUUGCAUAGCAGAUGCUACUAGUGAGGUUCGAUCGGGUGCUAGGGCAUGCUACAUGAUAUUCUCCAGAAUUUGGCCUGAACGUUCUCAUCAGCUCUUCUCAUCAUUUGAACCAUCCAGGCAGAAAAUGAUAAUUGAUAAUGAUGCCGAGACACAUCAAAAGCAGUUGUCUCCAAUAGAAGGAAUUAAGCUCGGGCAACCUCAAUCUGUUCCUUGCAUUUCAACUGCAAUGGACAAGGUUGUCAUGGUCGAUUCUCAGACAUCACUUUCUUCUGGAGACCUACAAUCAACAUUGGUGAAAAUAUCUCUUCGGCAUUCUGAUACGACCCUUAAAAUUCCAGCGGAAGAUAGUAAAGAUGAUUUAGCUAUUGGAAGUUCAUUCGAGGAUAUGAGCCCAAUAGAAAAAGAAAGAAUUCCAGUUCGAGACACUGAUGAACGCAUUUCAGGUAUCAGUUCAUCAUCCCAUGAUUUGCCCUCUGCCACUCCAUUUGAGCCAACUCCAGAAAUUUUAUUGUCAGAAGCAAUUGUCAUAGCAACUUUCGAAGACAAGGCCGAGUGCAGGCCGGAGGUUGAACAUAUAAUUUCUUGUCAAGUUCAAGCACUAAGGGAUCCUUCUGAGAUGUUGAUCCUCACUCCUGCUAGUUCAGAAGAGUCAGAAAACUUGCUAAACCAAAGGCCCACUACAAGCUCUAAUGGAAUAUUAGGUGGAAGAUCAAGGACCCAACAAGAAGAAAGACCAUGUGUUAGAACUCCUCGUAAGAGUGUAGUUCCGAAGCAGUCACCGAAUAACCACACUCCUAACUUCCGGCGACCUCUCCUGAGUAAGCUGAUGACAAACUGGUUCUAUGCUAGUACGAGAGGUGAUUUAGAUGGCAAACAACUCAUCAUAGGUGAAAUGGCCAAUAGCAUGGAUGUGCCCUCAUCUCUCACAGGGGCACUUUCUUUAGGCCUCAAUCCCAAGUCAGAUUGGAUGAUGAGGGUAUAUGCAUUUAAUUUCUUGCGCCAACACUUGCAAGAGCGAGGACCAAAAGGCAUUCAGGAGGUUGCACAAAAUUUUGAGAAGGUUAUGAGGCUUGUUAGUCAGUAUUUGGAUGAUCCGCACCAUAAAGUGGCGCAUGCUGCUCUCUCAUCACUUGCUGAGAUCAUGCCGGUUUUCAAGAAGCCUUUUGAACAUUAUCUGGACAAGAUGUUGCCCCAUGUUUUCUCUCGAUUAAAUGAUCCAAAUGAGUCAACCAAGCAACAAUGCUUAACAAUUCUGAAACUUGCAGGUGAAAGUUACUCCAUUGAUUCUCUCUUACCUUCUCUGCUUCGCUCUCUAGACGAGCAAAAAUCCCCAAAGUCAAAGCUUGCAAUUCUUGAGUUUGCAAAUUCCUCUUUUGUGAAAUGCACAGUUAGCUCUGACAUCUAUCCUGGUAGCAGUUUUCUUAAGCCGUGGCUUGGGAAGCUAACUCUUCUGUUCAAGGAUAGAAACAAGAAGCUAAAAGAGGCUGCGGUGGUUGGUUUAUCUUCAGUCUAUUGUCAUUAUGAUCCGGAAACCAUGUUAAGCUUUAUAGUUACCUUGUCCAUGGAAGAACAGAAGCAACUUACGUGGGCAAUUAAGCAGUUAAUCCCUAUGAUAGGGACCGACCUGGAAGAGUUCUUGCAGCAAAGGAGACAUAAGCAGAAAGUGCCAUCUUUUGCUCGCUUUGCUGCUACAGAUCCUCAUCCCAGAAGUUAUGUUGGAAGGCAGCAUAAAUCCCAGCAGCAUGACGCAUAUCAGUCCAGUGAUGUCAGAGGUGAUCAAGUAUUUAGCUCCGCAUUCCACUAUCUCCCGAGCACUCACUUGGAAGUCUAUGGGCGUCGUACUGCGAAGGAUGAAUCUCAAUUGGGUGGUGAAUCUUAUGGUCACAGAGCUGAAAUGAUGGGCAAAAAGUUUAGUCCUGCAAGGCGAAGCAAGGAUAUGAUGAUGAAUGGUAGUCAGAGCCAUGAGCCAAGCAUUUCCCAGAUGUAUCAUCAGGGCACGAGGAGUGUUUGUGUGACAAAUGGUCAUUCAGCGCCAAUCAAGAAUUUACAUCAUAUGUCCUCUCUCCUUGAGAUGCUUGAUGACCCAGCUGAAUCCACCAGGGAGCUUGCACUUUCUCUAUUGGUUGGAAUUCUUGAAAAACAAGAAAGGGCCCUGGAGAAUUGUUUCGAGACUCUUGUAGUUAAAUUGCUGCAUGCAACCAAAGAUGCUGCCUUGAAGGUAGUAAAUCUGGCACAUAUCUGUCUGACAACCGUGGUUACUCAGUUUGAUCCACUGCGAUGCCUUCGGGCAAUUGCUUCUCAGUUGGUCUCCCACGAUGAGAAAAUCCUUAUUGUCAGCAUCAACAGUCUGAGCAAGCUUGUGAUGCGGCUGUCACACGACGACCUCAUGACUCAUCUGUCAACAUUCCUACCCGCGGUCUUGGACGCCUUCGAAAACCACAGUCCAUAUGUUCGCAAGGCUAUUUUGUUGUGCCUGGUGGACACGUUCCUGAAGCUGGGGCCGGCGGUGGCGCCGCACCUGGAGCGGCUGGGCGGCCCGCAGCUGCUGCAGCUCGUCGUCUCCACGUCGGCGGGCAGACUGUCCAGGGCGGGCGUCUGA
rnacentral:rRNA from 1 species